rnacentral:rRNA from 1 species
CUUGGUCAUUUAGAGGAAGUAAAAGUCGUAACAAGGUUUUGUCAGAAGAUCCUUCUUCGAAGCCUUCCACACAACGACUCUAACCAUGUGUGCAGUCUAGAAAUAGGCGACGUCACCCCUGUGCUGGAACCCUAUCGUUCAGAUGGCGGACCAGCAGCCAGGAUUUCCUGGUCCACAGAUUAGGUGGUGGCGGUCCUUGGAUUUUAACCCUGGGAUCAAGAUAUAAUCGGUCCCCAUUGAUCUUUGAUGGUUGAGAAACGUUCCGUAGGUGAACCUGCGGAAGGAUCAUUACCGAGUUAGGGUCUUUUGGGCCCGACCUCCAACCCUAUAUUUAAACUACCAUGUUGCUUCGGCGGAACCGCCUCGCGGCCGCCGGGGGAGUACUCCUCUGGCCCGUGUCCGCCGAUAGCCUUACCACAAAUUCUUCACGAACCGUGUCGUCUAAGUACUACUACAAUUAAACCAAAACUUUCAACAACGGAUCUCUUGGUUCUGGCAUCGAUGAAGAACGCAGCGAAAUGCGAUAAGUAAUGCGAAUUGCAGAAUUCAGUGAGUCAUCGAAUCUUUGAACGCACAUUGCGCCCUUUGGUAUUCCGAAGGGCAUGCCUGUUCGAGCGUCAUUAUCACCAAUCAAGCCCGGCUUGUAGUUGGACCCAGGUGGUCGAAAGACGACCGGUCCGAAAGACAAUGGCGGUGUCUGUGGGACCCUCGGUGCAAUGAGCUUCUCAGCACGCACGGGAGCGGUCUCCGGGCCUAGUCUCAACCACAAAUCUUUACAAGGUUGACCUCGAAUCAGGUAGGAAUACCCGCUGAACUUAAGCAUAUCAAUAAGCGGAGGA